CUGCCUUGAUUUCUGGCUGGCUCUGUGGGGCGGUUUCCCUUUUACUGCCAUUCUUUUGCUGCAGGUCACAGCGCCCUUGGGCGAUGCCAAAGGUGAACACGCAUAGCUGCUAACGGACAGGUUGGAGUCGACCCCGAGACACUCGGAAGAAAGGCCCCACAACCGGCUUCUGAGAGUGCAGCCCUGGAGCACCUGACAGCGCCCAGCUCUGCUCUGACACUCCCGGUGCCGCUUCCAUGGCCACUUGUGAACCUCCUUGAUCCACGGACAUGGCGUUGAUACCAGGUGAGUGGUAGAGGAGCAGCAGCAGAACCAGGAGCCAGAGCAUGAGACAGAGUGGUGGACUUCCCAGCCCACAGAGCAAGUCAAGCGGAAUGCUUGGCCAGGAAGCCAGAUGCCUGCCAUUCUCAUCAUUUCCCAAAGACCAAGAAGGCCUUCCAUGGAGCUAAUCCUGAACAGCCCUUCCAUGGAACAAUAGGCAGUGUGCCUGGCUGCAGGUUCAAGUCCGCUUAGAAAGGCCUACCAGUCCACUUCCGAAAAGCCAGGUGCUAAAAACCCCAGGACACAGUCCUACUCUGACAAUACAUGGGUCAAUCAUU